GCUCGGCUCAGACAGUGUUUCUAAGAUUCAUGGUCUGAAUUCUCCUCCUGGGUUCAGAGAAUAUUCUAACAGUACUUUUAUUUUCACACCAUAGACAGCAGAACUUGUUUGUUCUCUUUUAAACACAAAAAUAUCAGAACUAGAAUCUGAGAGCUCACAAAGAAGGCUUGUGAGUGAACCUAAUACCAGAUUCACUUUAUCCCUCUGAGUCAUCUUUUGAAUCCACCAGUCCUCUCAGAUGUUCUUUAUUUUCAAUCACCUUCAAUACAGAAAUGUAUGUUUGAUUCUGUUACUUCCUGUUAGACCCUAACAGGAAGUAACAGAAUCAACAGAAUCAGUCACACUUCCCUGUCAGUGUGACUGGCUGGACGGUCACAGUAAGACGGAAAUAUGUUCUGUUGAUGUUAAACUGAGCAGCUGUCAGAGCUGUCAAGUAACGAAGUACAAAUACUUCGUUACCUUACUUAAGUAGAUAUUUUGGUUAUCUAUACUUUACUGGAGUAAUUAUUUUUUGGACCACUUUUUACUUCUACUCCUUACAUUUUCAUGUAAUUAUCUGUACUUUCUACUCCUUACAUUUUAAAAAUUGCCUCGUUACUUCAUUUCGACUUGUUUUUAUUCCGGCUAUCCAGAUAAAAUCCGCCAUCCGAAUAGAAUUAAUUUAAUUGUGGUUGGAUGAGAAGUCUCAACGUGACACCAUUCCUAUACCCCAUUGGUUUCAAAGCGAUGCAACGCGCUUGCGCAUUACACACCCGCACACCGGAGCAGAAUGUAGAAGCGUUAAUACAGUAAAUGGUGGAAGAGAAAAUGUCCAUGGCGGCAGACGAGGAGCUUUCCCAACCAAGCACCAGUGAGGAGGGUGCAGGCAAGGAAGACCAACCAACCCUUGUUCAUCCCUGGCCUUAUCUGGAGGAUUUUUUUGAUAUAACAGGAUGCAAAAACAACUCUUUUCGCAUGCAAUGCAAACUGUGCGCACCGAAGUACCACGAGCUAAUGGCUUUCAAAAACUCACCAUCAAAUUUAAAGAAGCAUAUUGAGUCCCCCGAGGCCAGACAAGAUACAUAAUCCAUCCAGCGGGUUUUGGGUCUACCCCGGAGUCUCCUCCCAGGCGGACAUGCUCGGAAAACCUCCGAAGGAAGUCUCCCCGGAGGCAUCCCAAUCAAAUGUCCAAACCACCUCAACUGGGUCCUCUCUCCGUGAAGGAGUAGUGACUCUACUCUGAGCUCCCUCCAGAUCUCUGAGCUUCUCACCCUAUCUCUAAGGCUGAGUCCUGUCACCCUGAAGGAAGCUCAUUUGGGAUGCUUGUACUUGCAAUCUCAUUCUUUCGUUCACUAACCGGAGUUCAUAACCAUAGGUGGGGGUUAGAACAUAGAUGGUAAAUUGAGAGCUUUGCCUCAGCUCCCUUUUCGCCAUGAAACAAUGGUUUGAUGCAAUGAAAAAUAAAUGAAAUUCACACAGAAUUCAAUAUCAGAGACAAGAUCAUUCGCACUACAACUGACAAUGGAUCGAACUUCCUGAAAGCCUUCAGAGUUUAUGGGAAGACUGACAAGAACAACAAUCCUGAACCUGUAGGAGAGCGUGCUGAAGAAGAGGACGAUGGUGGCCAAAAUGAUGAUACUGAUGAAGAAGAAGAAAGCAUUGAGGGUGUUGAAUUUGUUGAUACUGGAGCCCUUUUGGACAAAGAUGACUACUUGGAAUAUCAACUACCCAAGCACCAUCGCUGCGCCUGCCACCUCCUCAAUCUGGUGUCCACAGUUGAUGCUUCAAAAGCAGAGGACAACCCAUUGUACAAGCGCAUAUCAAGGUCCACAUUUGCCAAAUGCUCUAGCCUGUGGAACAAAAGUUCAAGAACAACCAUCGCAUCUGAAGUGAUUAAAGACCACUGCACACUCCAACUGAUAAGGCCUGUUGCUACAAGGUGGAAUUCAUUCUUCUCCGCUGCGGAAAGAAUUGUGAGAAUAACAAGAGAACAAGGUGAAGGAGCACUUGCAGCUGUCUGCAGUAAGCUGGAUAUACAAAAGUUUACUCCAGUGGAACUUGCAUUUCUUGCAGAAUAUGUGAAGACAAUGAGCCCAGUGGCCAAGGCAGUGGAUGUUCUUCAGGGAGAAACCAGUGUGCAGAUGGGAUGGCUGCUCCCCACCAUAACUCUACUAAAGACCAAGCUCCAGAACCUUCAGGUCACCUCCAAGUUUUGUGAGCCUUUGAUUGCUGCACUUCUUUCUGGCAUUGAAAAACGCUUCGGAGAAAUGCUUGCAGAUCCAGAGCUGAUAGCCGCAGCCAUUCUGGUUCCCAAAUUUAAAACCUGCUGGACAAAUGAUGAAAACAUCUUGAAACUUGGCCUUGACUACAUAAAAAGCCACUUGAGCUGUCAGGAAAGGAAUCCUGUCUCUGAGGGCUCCCUGUCAUCUGUGGAAGAGGACUUCUUUUCCUCCUUAAAGAAGACUGGCCCCCUUGAAAAGACCCAGCAGCUGGAUGCAUACCUGGGGUGCCCAGGAGACAUGACAGAGGUGAUGAAGUCCUUCCCAGCUGUGUGCCACCUAUCACUGAAGCUUAAUACGGCACUCCCUGCCUCAGCAGCCUGUGAAAGACUGUUCAGUGUUGCAGGGCUGAUCUUCAGGCCAAGAAGAGCGUGCAUUGGCUCAGUAAACUUUGAGAACCAGCUACUUUUGCGGCUGAACAAAGACUAUUGGUAACUCUUUGUUGCUUGUCCUUUGCUUGACUGAUGUCAGUCUUUAUGUUAAAAGUGCCUGUUACAUCUCCUUAAAUUUGAAUCGUUGCGAUUACCUACAGAAAUGGGCAUGACCAAGAAUGUGGCACAAUAAAGGUUAAUUGAUAAUA